rnacentral:ncRNA from 1 species
GUGGGGUGGUGGCGUGCCUUUUGAAGAAUGAGCCUGCGAGUCAGCGGCAUGUCGCGAGGUUAACCCGUGUGUGUGGGGUAGUCGUAGCGAAAGCGAAUCCUAAUGAGGGUGAAGUGUAGUGGCAUGUUCUGGACCCGAAGCGGGGUGAUCUACCCAUGGCCAGUGUGAAGCGGUGGUAAAACAUUGUGGAGGCGCGAACCCACUUAGGUUGAAAACUGAGGGGAUGAGCUGUGGGUAGGGGUGAAAGGCCAAUCAAACUCCGUGAUAGCUGGUUCUCCCCGAAAUGCAUUUAGGUGCAGCGUUGCGUGGUUGUUGUUGGUGGUAGAGCGACUGGUUGGUUGAUGCGGGACGAUCAUCUUAGCGAUGCCAGCUAAACUCCGAAUGCCAAUAAUAUGCGAGCGUGGCAGUGAGACGGCGGGGGAUAAGCUCCGUGACGUCGAGAGGGAAACAGCCCAGAUCGUCGGUUAAGGCCCCUAAGGGUGUGCUGAGUGGAAAAGGAGGUGUCAUCGCGAAGACAGCCAGGAGGUUGGCUUAGAAGCAGCCAUCCUUGAAAGAGUGCGUAAUAGCUCACUGGUUAAGUGGUGAUGCGCCGAUAAUGUAGUGGGGCUUAUAAAGUACUCCGCCGAAACCGCGGCAACACACA